GUGGUGAAAAGGUGACAGGGAGCUGCCCCUGCUCAAGAGCCGGUGGUUGGGGGUCUGAGAAGAAGUCACCACUAUGAAGUUAUUCGGCUUCGGGAGCCGCAGGGGCCAGACGGCGCAGGGCUCCAUAGACCAUGUCUACACGGGUUCCGGAUACCGAAUCCGGGACUCCGAACUGCAGAAGAUCCACAAGGCGGCUGUCAAGGGCGACGCCGCGGAGGUGGAGCGCUGCCUGGCGCGCAGGAGCGGAGACUGGACGCCCCGGACAAGCAGCACAGAACUGCUCUACACUUGGCCUGUGCCAGUGGCCAUGUGAAAGUGGUCACUCUCCUGGUUAACAGAAAAUGCCAGAUUGCUCUCUGUGACAAAGAAAACAGAACGCCUUUGAUACAGGCUGUCCAUUGCCAGGAAGAGGCUUGUGCUGUUAUUUUGCUGGAACAUGGCGCCAAUCCAAACCUCAAGGAUAUCUAUGGCAACAUUGCUCUCCAUUAUGCCGUGUAUAGUGAGAGCACCUCAAUGGCAGAAAUACUGCUUUUCCAUGAUGCAAAUAUUGAAGCACUGGACAAGGUAUAGAUCAAUCAACUUUCUUUCCAAAAUAUUUGUUUUAACAUUCACAUAGGUAAGGGUCAA
rnacentral:sRNA from 1 species